UAAAGGGGCGCCGUGGAAAAUAUACUGAGAUGGCGACUAAUCAUGUCCUGCAUGGUGUCUGGCUGCGUGAGCUUGAAGAACCAGUGUUCCAUUGGCAUGGUAAAUUAUGAACCUAUGUGCUCUUUACUCUGGUCUCCAUCGGGAGGUUACAUGUCUCAGGGUUUUGCAAGCAGCCAACUAGGGUAUAUGGGGAGUAAUGCAUGUGUCCAUCCCUGGAUUCGUGAGAGAUCAAAAUUUUGCUACAACAUCCACGAGUGUAAAUUUGAAGUGUCAGAGCCUACCUUUUGGUUAUGUACUGCAAGAUUUUGAAUUAAUUACUUAGUUCUCACAGAUUGAUCAAAA